rnacentral:rRNA from 1 species
AGGGCACCACCAGGAGUGGAGCCUGCGGCUUAAUUUGACUCAACACGGGGAAACUCACCCGGCCCGGACACCGUAAGGAUUGACAGAUUGAUAGCUUUUUCUUGAUUCGGUGGAUGGUGGUGCAUGGCCGUUCUUAGUUCGUGGAGCGAUUUGUCUGGUUUAUUCCGAUAACGAACGAGACUCUAGCCUGCUAAAUAGAUCACUGAUCGUCUGUGCGCGGGGAUCUUUGUUGAGUGAUUAUCCGAGUAAAGCCUCCCAAAACUAACUAAAGCCAAAUCAGGGAUGUCAUUACCUGACAGGGCCUGCACGCCGACUACCCUGGACUUCUCUCCAUGCCUGGCCUUCUUCCAACGCUAAUGGACCACCCUAGAACAUAUGCCUGGACUGGGAUUGGAAAUUCCCUUUUUUUCUCUGGAUCGAAGAGUUCCAAUUAUGUGUGAGACUUCAGUCGCACUUUGCCGAUGUCCCUGCCCCCUGGUCCUCACAUACAGUCCCUGUUACUAACUGAGAAUGAUCGAG